GUGUGAGAGCUGCAGGUAUUGGUAUCACCUUGAAUGCUCUGGCAGCAAUGCAUCAUUUAGAACACUGCAAAAGGAAACCUUUGUGUGCAAAGUGUGCCAGGUAGAUGAAGACUAUGUGGGCAAUAGAUCACCAACUUCAAGUGUAGUUCUGAGAAAAGGCACACAACCAAACAAAUCAUCAAUGAAUAAUCCUCACAGAUAUCAAACUAGGUUUGGUGGGCACACAGAGAACAACUUCCAGUUGAUCGCUUUAAAUGGUCGCAUAAAGAAAUGCCAAGGAUGCAAAACUAAAUUCAUUCAUACACCGAGGGCACCAUUUGACAUGGUAGUGAGGCAUCUGGAAUUAAGACACUUUUUCAGCCAUAGGGCAAAUAAGCAACAGGCAUUUUGGACAAAUUGUCAUUACCACUGCAGGGCUCAGUGCAUUCUGACAAAUAAUCAACAUUUCACACUUAGUAGGCUAGUAAUUGAUCCAACCCUAAUAUUAACAGAUGACCAUAUACAACAUUUGGAACAAAAUGGCAUAGACAUUAUGCAAGUUAUAAAUUCAAAAGUACCAUAUUUCUAAACAAACAUAUUUAACAAAGUCAAGAAAAGAAGCUGAAAUGAACCAUAACUCUCCACAACACUCAACCUAGAACAGAUGCCAGAAAGUCAGGAUAACAUGACAACCAAGACCUUCACAGCAGCCCUCAACUAAGUCAGGAUAACAUGACAACCAAGACCCUCACAGCAGCCCUCAACCCAGUCAGGAUAACAUGACAACUAAAACACUCACAGCAGCCCUCAACCCAGAACAGAUGCCAGAAAGUCAGGAUAACAUGACAACCAAGACCCUCACAGCAGCCCUCAACUCAGAACAGAUGCCAGAAAGUCAGGAUAACAUGACAACCAAGACCCUCACAGCAGCCCUAAACCUAGAACAGAUGCCAGAAAGUCAGGAUAACAUGACAAUCAAGACCCUAACAGAAGCCCUCAACCCAGUCAGGAUAACAUGACAACCGAGAACCUCACAGAAGCCCUCUACCCAGAACAGAUGCCAGAAAGUCAGGAUAACAUGACAAUCAAGACCCUCAAAUCAGCCCUAACCCCAGUCAGGAUAACAUGACAACCAAGACCCUCACAGAAGCCCUAAAUCUAGAACAGAUGCCAGAAAGUCAGGAUACCAUGACAAUCAAGACCCUCACAGCAGCCCUCAACCCAGUCAGGAUAACAUGACAACCAAGAUCCUCAGAGAAGCCCUAAACCUAGAACAAAUGCCAGAAAGUCAGGAUAACAUGACAACCAAGACCCUCACAGCAGCCCUCAACCCAGUCAGGAUAACAUGACACCAAAACCCUCACAGAAGCCUUCAACCCAGUACAGAUGCCAGAAAGUCAGGAUAACAUGACAAUCAAGACCCUCACAGAAGCCCUCAACCCAGUCAGUAUAACAUGACAACCGAGACCCUCACAGCAGCCCUAAACCUAGAACAGCUGCCACAAAGUCAGGAUAACAUGACAACCAAGACCCUCACAGAAGCCCUCAACCCAGUCAGGAUAACAUGACAAUCAAGACCCUCACAGAAGCCCUCAACCCAGUCAGGAUAACAUGACAACCAAGACCCUCACAGAAGCCCUCAACCCAGAACAGAUGCCAAAAAGUCAGGAUAACAUGACAUCCAAGACCCUCACAAGCCCUCAACCCAGAACAGAUGCCAGAAAUUCAGGAUAACAUGACAUCCAAGACCCUCACAGAAGCCCUAAACCUAGAACAGAUGCCAGAGAGUCAGGAUGACAUGACAACCAAGACCCUCACAGCAGCCCUAAACCUAGAACAGAUGCCAGAAAGUCAGGAUAACAUGACAACCAAGACCCUCACAGAAGCUCUCAACUAAGUCAGGAUAACAUGACAAUCAAUACCCUCACAGCAGCCCUCGGCCCAGUCAGGUUAACAUGACAACCAAAACCCUCACAGCAGCCCUCAACCCUGAACAGAUGCCAGAAAGUCAGGAUAAUAUGACAACCAAGACCCUCACAGCAGCCCUCAGCCCAGAACAGAUGCCAGAAAGUCAGGAUAACAUGACAACCAAGACCCUCACAGAAGCCCUCAACUAAGUCAGGAUAACAUGACAACCAAGACCCUCACAGAAGCCCUAAAUCUAGAACAGAUGCCAGAAAGUCAGGAUAACAUGACAACCAAGACCCUCACAGAAGCCCUUAACCCAGUCAGGAUAACAUGACAACCAAGACCCUCACAGAAGCCCUCAACUAAGUCAGGAUAACAUGACAACCAAGACCCUCACAGAAGCCCUAAAUCUAGAACAGAUGCCAGAAAGUCAGGAUAACAUGACAAUCAAGACCCUCACAGCAGCCCUAAACCUAGAACAGAUGCCACAAGUCAGGAUAACAUGACAAUCAAAACCCUCACAGAAGCCCUAAACCUAGAACAGAUGCCACAAGUCAGGAUAA
rnacentral:lncRNA from 1 species